rfam:TPA: Bos taurus chromosome 22, whole genome shotgun sequence.
UCCCUGGUGGCUCAGAUGGUAAAGCGUCUGCCGGCAAUGCAGGAGACCUGGGUUUGAUUCCUGGGUCAGGGAG